UACGUAGGGUCCGAGCGUUGUCCGGAAUUAUUGGGCGUAAAGAGCUCGUAGGCGGCUUGUCGCGUCGAAUGUGAAAUCUCAGGGCUCAACUCUGACAUUGCAUUCGAUACGGGCAGGCUAGAGUUCGGUAGGGGAGACUGGAAUUCCUGGUGUAGCGGUGAAAUGCGCAGAUAUCAGGAGGAACACCGGUGGCGAAGGCGGGUCUCUGGGCCGAUACUGACGCUGAGGAGCGAAAGCGUGGGGAGCGAACAGG
rnacentral:rRNA from 1 species